rnacentral:rRNA from 1 species
GACGAACGCUGGCGGCGUGCUUAACACAUGCAUGUCGAACGGUAAGGCCCUUCGGGGUACACGAGUGGCGAACGGGUGAGUAACACGUGGGUGAUCUGCCCUGCACUUCGGGAUAAGCCUGGGAAACUGGGUCUAAUACCGGAUAGGACCACUGCCUGCAUGGGUGGUGGUGGAAAGCUUUUGCGGUGUGGGAUGGGCCCGCGGCCUAUCAGCUUGUUGGUGGGGUGAUGGCCUACCAAGGCGAUGACGGGUAGCCGGCCUGAGAGGGUGACCGGCCACACUGGGACUGAGAUACGGCCCAGACUCCUACGGGAGGCAGCAGUGGGGAAUAUUGCACAAUGGGCGCAAGCCUGAUGCAGCGACGCCGCGUGAGGGAUGACGGCCUUCGGGUUGUAAACCUCUUUCAGCACCGACGAAGCGCAAGUGACGGUAGGUGCAGAAGAAGGACCGGCCAACUACGUGCCAGCAGCCGCAGUAA